AGACCAUGAUAAAGACAAUGCCGAAGUAAUUCUUUAUACCUUUCCCAAGCCUCGUACAACGAUUCAAAAUCUUGCUGCAUGAAUGAUGUGAUAUCAUUCCUCAUUUC
rfam:Theobroma cacao cultivar Matina 1-6 chromosome 9, whole genome shotgun sequence.